rnacentral:rRNA from 1 species
UACGGAGGGUGCGAGCGUUGUCCGGAAUUACUGGGCGUAAAGCGCGCGUAGGCGGCUUUGUAAGUUAGAGGUGAAAGCCCGGAGCUCAACUCCGGAACUGCCUUUAAGACUGCAUCGCUAGAAUUGUGGAGAGGUAAGUGGAAUUCCGAGUGUAGAGGUGAAAUUCGUAGAUAUUCGGAAGAACACCAGUGGCGAAGGCGACUUACUGGACACAUAUUGACGCUGAGGUGCGAAAGCGUGGGGAGCAAACAGG